AUUGAACGCUGGCGGCAUGCCUUACACAUGCAAGUCGAGCGGCAGCGCGGGGGCAACCCUGGCGGCGAGCGGCGGACGGGUGAGUAAUACAUCGGAACGUGUCCUUUCGUGGGGGAUAACCAGUCGAAAGACUGGCUAAUACCGCAUGAGAUCGCAAGAUGAAAGCGGGGGAUCGCAAGACCUCGCGCGAUUGGAGCGGCCGAUGUCGGAUUAGCUAGUUGGCGGGGUAAGAGCCCACCAAGGCGACGAUCCGUAGCUGGUUUGAGAGAACGACCAGCCACACAGGGACUGAGACCCGGCCCAGACUCCUACGGGAGGCAGCAGUGGGGAAUUUUGGACAAUGGGCGCAAGCCUGAUCCAGCCAUGCCGCGUGUGUGAAGAAGGCCUUCGGGUUGUAAAGCACUUUCGGCCGGAACGAAAUCGCGCGGGCGAACACUCCGCGUGGAUGACGGUACCGGAAGAAGAAGCACCGGCUAACUACGUGCCAGCCGCCGCAGUAAUAC
rnacentral:rRNA from 1 species